rnacentral:rRNA from 1 species
GGGUUGUGAGGUUAAGCGACUAAGCGUACACGGUGGAUGCCCUGGCAGUCAGAGGCGAUGAAGGACGUGCUAAUCUGCGAAAAGCGUCGGUAAGGUGAUAUGAACCGUUAUAACCGGCGAUGUCCGAAUGGGGAAACCCAGUGUGAUUCGUCACACUAUCGUUAACUGAAUACAUAGGUUAACGAGGCGAACCGGGGGAACUGAAACAUCUAAGUACCCCGAGGAAAAGAAAUCAACCGAGAUUCCCCCAGUAGCGGCGAGCGAACGGGGAGCAGCCCAGAGUCUGAAUCAGCUUGUGUGUUAGUGGAACGGUCUGGAAAGUCCGACGGUACAGGGUGAUAGUCCCGUACACCAAAAUGCACAGGCUGUGAACUCGAAGAGUAGGGCGGGACACGUGGUAUCCUGUCUGAAUAUGGGGGGACCAUCCUCCAAGGCUAAAUACUCCUGACUGACCGAUAGUGAACCAGUACCGUGAGGGAAAGGCGAAAAGAACCCCGGCGAGGGGAGUGAAAAAGAACCUGAAACCGUGUACGUACAAGCAGUGGGAGCACCUUCGGGUGUGACUGCGUACCUUUUGUAUAAUGGGUCAGCGACUUAUAUUCUGUAGCAAGGUUAACCGUAUAGGGGAGCCGCAGGGAAACCGAGUCUUAACUGGGCGUUAAGUUGCAGGGUAUAGACCCGAAACCCGGUGAUCUAGCCAUGGGCAGGUUGAAGGUUGGGUAACACUAACUGGAGGACCGAACCGACUAAUGUUGAAAAAUUAGCGGAUGACUUGUGGCUGGGGGUGAAAGGCCAAUCAAACCGGGAGAUAGCUGGUUCUCCCCGAAAGCUAUUUAGGUAGCGCCUCGUGAACUCAUCUUCGGGGGUAGAGCACUGUUUCGGCUAGGGGGUCAUCCCGACUUACCAACCCGAUGCAAACUACGAAUACCGAAGAAUGUUAUCACGGGAGACACACGGCGGGUGCUAACGUCCGUCGUGAAGAGGGAAACAACCCAGACCGCCAGCUAAGGUCCCAAAGUCAUGGUUAAGUGGGAAACGAUGUGGGAAGGCACAGACAGCCAGGAUGUUGGCUUAGAAGCAGCCAUCAUUUAAAGAAAGCGUAAUAGCUCACUGGUCGAGUCGGCCUGCGCGGAAGAUGUAACGGGGCUAAACCAUGCACCGAAGCUGCGGCAGCGACACUAUGUGUUGUUGGGUAGGGGAGCGUUCUGUAAGCCUGCGAAGGUGUGCUGUGAGGCAUGCUGGAGGUAUCAGAAGUGCGAAUGCUGACAUAAGUAACGAUAAAGCGGGUGAAAAGCCCGCUCGCCGGAAGACCAAGGGUUCCUGUCCAACGUUAAUCGGGGCAGGGUGAGUCGACCCUAAGGCGAGGCCGAAAGGCGUAGUCGAUGGGAAACAGGUUAAUAUUCCUGUACUUGGUGUUACUGCGAAGGGGACGGAGAAGGCUAUGUUAGCCGGGCGACGGUUGUCCCGGUUUAAGCAUGUAGGCUGGUUAUCCGCAAAUCCGGAUAAUCAAGGCUGAGGUGUGAUGACGAGGCACUACGGUGCUGAAGUAACAAAUGCCCUGCUUCCGGAAAAGCCUCUAAGCAUCAGGUAACAUCAAAUCGUACCCCAAACCGACACAGGUGGUCAGGUAGAGAAUACCAAGGCGCUUGAGAGAACUCGGGUGAAGGAACUAGGCAAAAUGGUGCCGUAACUUCGGGAGAAGGCACGCUGGUGUGUAGGUGAAGUCCCUGCGGAUGGAGCUGAGACCAGUCGAAGAUACCAGCUGGCUGCAACUGUUUAUUAAAACACAGCACUGUGCAAACACGAAAGUGGACGUAUACGGUGUGACGCCUGCCCGGUGCCGGAAGGUUAAUUGAUGGGGUUAUCCGUAAGGAGAAGCUCUUGAUCGAAGCCCGGUAAACGGCGGCCGUAACUAUAACGGUCCUAAGGUAGCGAAAUUCCUUGUCGGGUAAGUUCCGACCUGCACGAAUGGCGUAAUGAUGGCGGGCUGUCUCCACCCGAGACUCAGUGAAAUUGAACUCGCUGUGAAGAUGCAGUGUACCCGCGGCAAGACGGAAAGACCCCGUGAACCUUUACUAUAGCUUGACACUGAACAUUGAGCCUUGAUGUGUAGGAUAGGUGGGAGGCUUUGAAGCGUGGACGCCAGUCUGCGUGGAGCCAACCUUGAAAUACCACCCUUUAAUGUUUGAUGUUCUAACGUUGGCCCCUGACCGGGGUUGCGGACAGUGUCUGGUGGGUAGUUUGACUGGGGCGGUCUCCUCCCAAAGCGUAACGGAGGAGCACGAAGGUUAGCUAAUCCUGGUCGGACAUCAGGAGGUUAGUGCAAUGGCAUAAGCUAGCUUGACUGCGAGCGUGACGGCGCGAGCAGGUGCGAAAGCAGGUCAUAGUGAUCCGGUGGUUCUGAAUGGAAGGGCCAUCGCUCAACGGAUAAAAGGUACUCCGGGGGAUAACAGGCUGAUACCGCCCAAGAGUUCAUAUCGACGGCGGUGUUUGGCACCUCGAUGUCGGCUCAUCACAUCCUGGGGCUGAAGUAGGUCCCAAGGGUAUGGCUGUUCGCCAUUUAAAGUGGUACGCGAGCUGGGUUUAGAACGUCGUGAGACAGUUCGGUCCCUAUCUGCCGUGGGCGCUGGAGAAUUGAGGGGGGCUGCUCCUAGUACGAGAGGACCGGAGUGGACGCAUCACUGGUGUUCGGGUUGUCAUGCCAAUGGCACUGCCCGGUAGCUAAAUGCGGAAGAGAUAAGUGCUGAAAGCAUCUAAGCACGAAACUUGCCCCGAGAUGAGUUCUCCCUGAGACUUUAAGUCUCCUGAAGGAACGUUAAAGACGAUGACGUUGAUAGGCCGGGUGUGUAAGCGCAGCGAUGCGUUGAGCUAACCGGUACUAAUGAACCGUGAGGCUUAACCUUACAACGCCGAAG